UACAGAGGGUGCAAGCGUUAAUCGGAAUUACUGGGCGUAAAGCGCGCGUAGGCGGCUUGACAGGUCGAGUGUGAAAUCCCCGGGCUUAACCUGGGAGCUGCAUUCGAAACUGUCUUGCUAGAGUAUGGGAGAGGGAGGUGGAAUUUCAGGUGUAGCGGUGAAAUGCGUAGAUAUCUGAAGGAACAUCAGUGGCGAAAGCGACCUCCUGGACCAAUACUGACGCUCAGGUGCGAAAGCGUGGGGAGCAAACAGGG
rnacentral:rRNA from 1 species